GUUUGAUCUCAAAUCAGGUAGGACUACCCGCUGAACUUAAGCAUAUCAAUAAG
rnacentral:rRNA from 1 species